UCUAUAUCUCUCCUAAAUUCCUCCAAAAUUCAGCCGGAGCUCCAAAGCUUCUGCUUACUAAAACCAGACUCUCACUUUCACAACCAAAUUAGCAAACAUUUUCAGAGGGACAAAGCUCAUCAAUGAUCGUCUUUUCAUCUCAGACUCUCUCUGUCACUGCUAUUUCAGUUCUCUCUUCGAAUUGAUUCCGAGCCACAGUGAUGUUAGUUACACGAGCACCAAUCGAUUGAUUCCGAGCUUGGAGUUCGAUUCUGAUUCUGAGCCCCUUCCACGGAUUUGAUUUCUUUGGGGGUAGCACAAUGCUAUUCUUUGCAGGAAGCAGUUGUUGCUGAUCAACUAUUUCAAAGUGCUGAACAUUCUUCAGAUGAUCUUCUUGUCUUCUUUAGUGAAGAACUAAGGGACUUAUUAGAGAGCCAGUUGAAUUAGAAAUUAGUGAAUUUUAUCAUUUGGAUACUUUUUGGAUGUUUACAGUCGUAUUUUAGAGAUUAGUGAAUCUUAUGAUUUGGAUUUUUGUUUAGUUUGUAUGUUUGAGGUUGUUAUCAGCUUGAUAUGAUAGAAGUUGAGGAUGAAAGUUAGUAUGCAGGUUAUUUGGUGUAUGGAUAUUAAAUUUUUUUUGCUUGCUUCAUAGUUGCUGCUCUUGCUUGGUUUUUUAACA